GGAAGUGUGGCAGAGUGGUUUAUUGCGUUCGCCUUGAAAGCGAAAGUGGGUUAAUAGCUCACCGUGGGUUCAAAUCCUACCACUUCCU
rnacentral:tRNA from 1 species